UACGGCCGCAAGGUUAAAACUCAAAUGAAUUGACGGGGCCUGCACAAGCGGUGGAGCAUGUGGUUUAAUUUGAAGCAACGCGCAGAACCUUACCAGCGUUUGACAUGUCCGGACGAUUUCCAGAGAUGGAUCUCUUCCCUUCGGGGACUGGAACACAGGUGCUGCAUGGCUGUCGUCAGCUCGUGUCGUGAGAUGUUGGGUUAAGUCCCGCAACGAGCGCAACCCUCGCCUUUAGUUACCAUCAUUUAGUUGGGUACUCUAAAGGAACCGCCGGUGAUAAGCCGGAGGAAGGUGGGGAUGACGUCAAGUCCUCAUGGCCCUUACGCGCUGGGCUACACACGUGCUACAAUGGCGACUACAGUGGGCUGCAAACUCGCGAGGGUGAGCUAAUCUCCAAAAGUCGUCUCAGUUCGGAUUGUACU
rnacentral:rRNA from 1 species